UACGUAGGGGGCAAGCGUUGUCCGGAAUCAUUGGGCGUAAAGCGCGUGUAGGCGGCCCGGUAAGUCCGCUGUGAAAGUCCAGGGCUCAACCCUGGGAUGCCGGUGGAUACUGUCGGGCUCGAGUCCGGAAGAGGCGAGUGGAAUUCCUGGUGUAGCGGUGAAAUGCGCAGAUAUCGGGAGGAACACCAAUGGCGAAGGCAGCUCGCUGGGACGUUACUGACGCUGAGACGCGAAAGCGUGGGGAGCAAACAGG
rnacentral:rRNA from 1 species